GAUGGAUAUGUGGGCUGUUUCCAUCAUUUGGUUACUGUGAAUAGCACUGCUAUGAACAUUAGCUUUUUUCCACUUUUUUUAUUGUGGCAAAAAAUACAUAAUAAUGAUAAAUGCUAUUAAAGUACAGUUCAGUACAUUACGCAUAUCCACAGUGUUGUACAACCAUCACUACUAUCCAUCUCUGAAACUUUUUAUCUUCCUUAACAAACUUUGUGCCCAUUAAACCCUAACCUUGGCCAGGUGUGGUGGUUCACGCCUGUAAUCCAGCACUUUGGGAGGCUGAGGCAGGCGGAUUGCUUGAGGUCAGGAGUUCGAGGCCAGCCUGGCCAACAUGGUGAAAGCCCGUCUUCACUAAAAAUACAAAAUUUAGCCAGGAGUGGUGGCACAUGCCUGUAAUCCCAGCUACUCAGGAGGAAGAGGCAGGAGGAUCACUCGAACCCGGGAGGCAGAAGUUGCAGUGAGCUGAGCCCACAGUAAGUUUGUCAAACGGGUCAAAGUUGUCUGCAGCUCCACUUAGCCUAGAAUCCAGUCAUGCCACUGCACUCCAGCCUGGGCGACAGAGCGAGACUCCAUCUCAAAAAAGGAAAAAAAAAAAAAAAAAAAAACGCUAACUUCCCAUUUCCUUUCUCCCACCAGCUCCUGGUACUCGCCAUUGUACUUUCUGUCUCUGUAAAUCUGACUAGUUUAGGUACCUCAUAUAAGUGAAAUCAUAUUAAUACAAUAGUCGUCCUGCGUCUGCUUUAUUUUAUUCAGCAUAAUGUUUUCAAGAUGAAUAUCAAAUAUUUUUUAUAAAAAGUAUACAUUUUACAUGCAAAAUUUAUUAAGUUUAACACUGCAAUCAAAUGGCAAAGACAUCAUCAAAAACAUGUACGAAGCAAGCACCUUUUGCUGGCAUCACUUCAUUGGAUCCUCACAGCUGCUCUGUGAGAUGGGCUUUACAGAUGAAAGAAUAGAGCCCAGGGAAGAUAAGUGACUUACCCAAGGACAUGCAGCUUGUAAACCAACAAGCAAACAUGCACAUUCAGGUCUUCUAAUUUCCAGUCCUUUUUAAUUUACAGGAUCAGCUGCCUCCCAUCCCAUUUAUAAGGAUGGUCAAAACAAAAAGAUACCAAUGUUGGACAGCAAGUCAGGGAAGGAGCUAGAACUUGAUAAACUAGCUUUUGUAAGUGAUAACGGGAGGGAAGUGCUGGGAAGGGCGUGGUCCCUUUAAAUAACAGGAAAGGAGGGAAAGGAAGUGCUGGGUAGAGGAGGGCGUGGUCCCUGGCGAGGGCUCCACCCCCAAACCCGUGCCCACGGGUCUAAGUGAGGACAGGCAGACACACAAGCAGCUGGACGUGGAGAGGAACACAUCGCAGAAGACACAAGCAGCUGGACAGCGAGAGGAUGUGGAUGGGAGCACGCCAGAGGAAGAGCACACGACAGAUCCCAGCAUGCCGACAGGCCACGACUGGCGGAAGGAGGAACAGUUGGCGGAGUUUGGCCGGGGCAAUCAGAGGAGAGCCCAGGCAGUCUAGCGGCCCAACUCCAGGGGAAAACCAUCUCCCUUCUGGCUCCCCCAUCUGCUGAGAGCUACUUCUACUCAGUAAAACCUUGCACUCGUUCUUCAAGCCCAGGUGUGAUCCGAUUCUCCUGGUACACCAAGGCAAGAACCCAGGGAUACAGAAAGCCCUCUGUCCUUGCAAUAAGGCAGGGGUCUAAUUGAGCUAACACAAGCUAACUAUGGACAGCUAAACUAAAAGAGCACGUGGUAACACAUGCCCACUGGGGCUUCAGCUGCAAACAUUCACCCCUAGACAUUGCUGUGGGGUCGGAGCCCCACAGCCUGCCCAUCUGUAUGCUCCCCUAGAUUUGAGCAGUGGGGCACUGAAGAAGCCAGCCACAUCCCCAUUCCACACCCUGCAAGGGGGACAAGGGAACAUUUCCCGUUUCACUGAGAAGGGCAUUCCAGGCUGGUAACCAUCUGUGACCUGGGUGCAGAGAUGAGCUUGGUAGGGGCUGCACAAGGAAGAAAGAAGCAGGAUGUGGAUAGGAACUGUGAAUAUCCUAAUCUGAUUUAAAAAGGACUCUUAGAAGAAUCUUUCCUUUCAUUCCAACCUAUAAUGGAUUAUCUUAAACAAGGACCUUUGUUCUUUUUUUCCCUGCCUCAUGAGAAUAUACAGAUAAAUAGAAUUUCAGCCAAACACUACAUGUGCCCUGAGAGCUUCCUAGUUGGCAUCUGCUGCAUUUGUCUUUUCCCACUGCAGCCUGGACUGGUGCAGGAUGUGGAAGGGAUGAGGUAUUGCUUAACACACAUUAGAGACAAAAUCCUUGACAAAAAUAAAGUACUAAAGUGAAUUUGAUUCAUUUACUUGAUAACCCAUACUAUAGACUACCUUUGCCCUUAAGAUUGAUUUCUGCAGACCAGAGAAUUUUUUUAUUGCCUCAGCUAUUAAUGCCAGCCCAACCACAAUUUUCUAGAAUUUCUUUCAUUUCUUUCUGAAAAGCACACACAUCUUUAUUUCAUAUUGCAUCACUUCUUUAGAAGAAAACAUGAUUUUGCUCAUUGUUUUUGGCAACAUUGCUAAAGAUAUAAAAGCAUUUAAUUUAACAAUAAUUACUAUCAAAAGAAAUAACUUUUGAAAAACUUCCCAGAGUGUUUAUUACAGAAACAAAAAGAAAAACUGAGAGGAGUGAAGACUAGGCAUUUGCAAUUUGUGGAUACCAACCACCCAUAAGCAGAAGAAGAAUAAUUUGGUUCUAAUCAAAAGAUUUGGUCUAUUUGGGGCCAGGUGCAAUGGCUCAUGCCUAUAAUCCCAACACUUUGGGAGUCUGAGGCAAGGGGAUUGCUUGAGCCCAGGAGUUCGAGAUCAGCCUGGGCAACAAAGGGAGAUCCCUUCUCUACCAAAAAAAAAAAAAAAUUUUUUUUUAAUUAGCUGGCUGUGGUGGUGCACGGAGUUGGUGCCUGUAGUUCCAGCUACUCUGGAGGCUUAUUCGGGGAACUCUGUAUGUAAGUUGGCAAAGACCAAAAUAGUGCCAACAUAUGAAGCACUGAAAAAGAAAAAGUUAAAAUAUCUUAGCCUCAACACUCGAAAUAUAGCAAGCCCACAUAUUUGAAGACCAAACACAUCAAGACUCAUCUUUCCCUUAAAAGAAUUUUCAGCUGGGCACAGUGGCUCGUGCCUGUAAUCCCAGCACUUUGGGAGGCUGAGGCGGGUGGAUUACUUUAGACCAGGAGUUUGGGACCAGCCUGGCCAAAAUGUGAAACCCCCGUCUCUACUAAAAAUAUAAAAAUUAGCCGAGACUGGUGGUGCACACCUGUAGUCCCAGCUAUUCAGGAGACUGAGACAAGACUCGCUUGAACCCAGGAGGUGGAGGCUGCAGUGAGCCAACAUUGCACCACUGCACUCCAGCCUAGACAACAGAGUGAGACUUUGUCACAAAAAAAAAAAAGAGAGAAUUUUUCUUUGUCAGAUGUAGAAUAUAACUUAAGAGAAAUUUAUUAACAUUUAAGCUCCUUAGUAUAGAAAACUGGAGGAAAAUAACUUUAGUACACACUUAAUUUGCUAUACUAAAUUUUUUUAAUAAAGACCUUCAAAAGGAAAAUUUAGAUUAUAAGUAGCAUGGCACAUAUAGAAUAUGAACACAGAAAGUUCAUAUCUAAGCCCUAAGCCACUUAUGAUAAACACCUAUAAAAGGAACAAAAACUAAACUUCCACAUUAUUUUACCCAGUAAAAGAUGUAGGCUAUUAGUAGAAAGUUGGUUAAGUAAAUUCAAAAAAUAAAAAUAUAAAAAAGAAAUAAUGAGAAAAUUUUUGAAAAAUAUUAAUAAAAUAAAGAUGUAGGCUACAUAGCUGAGGCUAUUAUUCACACCAUAUAGAAAUUAGGUUCUCGGGCCAAGCAGAAACUAUAACAUAAUCAGAAAGAAUACCUAAAGAAAUAAAGUAUGACUUCCUAAAUUUUUUAUUUUAAAAAUGCCCAGUUUAUUUAUUUGCUUUGCCUAAGAUAGCUGCAUUCAUUAUUACAGGGUCAGGGGACUUGUAAAAACAAAUAUCAAUUAUUAUAAAUAAUCACAGAAAACAAAUAAACUGGAAAAUAAACAGCGGUUACUAAUUUAAGGUUUUAACCCUUACCCCAACCACCCAAAAAAAGUAGCCAUUUUUAAAAUAAAGAUUAAGAGUUGGUGGAAUUUAAGGGAAAUGCCAUCCGGUAAUGUUACCUAAAUACUAGAAAGGAAUCAGCACAAGGAAACAGGAACAAAGCAGUGCAGUACUUCGGUAUUACAGCGCCACCCACUGGCUAGAAGUCCUCAUAGCACAUAUGAGAUGUAGCCAUAAAAUAGAUGAAUUCUUGAAAUAAGGAAUAUAACACUGACUAUUCUGAUUCAGUAGAACAUAAAAAAUGUCUAACAAAACAGAACCAGACACAUUAUAUUAUUUCUACAAGUAAACAGAAUAUCUAUUAGAUAUGUUCACAAGGGUUUUAUCAAUUUUGAAAUCCAAGUGUAUAAUCCCCAAAUGCUGUAAGGACUUAAAUUUUAUAGCCAAAACAAUUAACACAUAAAAUGCUAUUUCAUCUCUGUAGCUGAAUACAUAAAUAGUAUCUUUAAGUAAAAGAUGCAUACUUGCAUUUCAUUGCUAAGCAAUUCAUAAUAUAUUUAAAUGCUGGUAAAACCUACAAUGGCAUCUGCUUCACUUCUACCUUUACUAGAGAAGUAACAAAAUACACUGAGCAAAGGAUAUGUCCAAAAAACUAAACUGAAAAACAGUUUCUAAAUAAAGUCCACAGACCAUUCAGAUAAACUAGUAAAAAUAGUUUUUCUUUAAAGUACCACAGCACCUUUGUAGUUCAAAAUAUAUUUACCAUAGGCUGGGCGUGGUGGCUCACGCCUGUAAUCCCAGCACUUUGGGAAGCUGAGGCAGGCAGAUCACAAGGUCAGGAGAUCGAGACCAUCCUGUGAAUGGUGAAACCCUGUCUCUACUAAAAAUAUAAAAAAAAUUAGCCCGGCAUGGUGGCGGGCACCUGUAGUCCCAGCUACUCAGGAGGCUGAGGCAGGAGAAUGGUGUGAACCCA
rnacentral:lncRNA from 10 species